AAAGGCUUGAACAUAAGACCUGAAACCGUAAAACUCCUAGAAGAAAACACAGAUGGCCUGUGGUCAUGACACCGUCACGGCAUCACGACCAACUACCGGACUCACCAGGAGGUGCAUUGAUGGGUCCCACGGCAGCCGUGGCGGGCGGGACUUCUGGAGCAUUGUGGGCCACCAGCAGCGUCUGCGGAGUAUGUGAGGCUUCAUGGGGUGGCAGACAUGGCCCUGAUGGCAGAUUAGGCCUAGGGGGCCCUACACGCGCACGAUUUAAUCGUGUGCUGGGCCUCUAGUAUCUCAAUAAAAAAAGUUCUCACUGUCUGCA